GACGAACGCUGGCGGCGUGCCUAAUACAUGCAAGUCGAGCGAUGCGGGGACGGGUGAGUAACCCGUGUAUAACCCUUUAUCACCAUGGGAUAACUUCGGGCAACCGGAGCUUAAUCGGAUAUUUAUAUUUGGACCCGCGCUGCAUUAGCUAGUUGGUAAGAUAACGGCGUACCAAGGCAACGAUGCAUAGCCGACCUCAGAGGGUGAUCAGCCAAACUGGAACUGAGACACGGUCCAGAGUCCUACAGGAGGCAGCAGUAGGGAAUCGUCCGCAAUAGGCGAAAGCCUGACGGAGCAACGCCGCGUGAGUGAGGAAGGUCUUCGGAUCGUAAAACUCUGGUAUUAGGGAAGCGGUACCUAAUCAGAAAGCCACGGCUAACAACGUGCCAACAACCGCGGUAAUUC
rnacentral:rRNA from 1 species